AAGUCGUAACAAGGUUUCCGUAGGUGAACCUGCGGAAGGAUCAUUACCAAUAUAGCGAACCGAGCGUUAGCGAGGCUUCGCGAUCAAAUUGUAUUUAAAACCCAACUCUUUAAAUGUAUAUUAUUAUUAUAUUUUAAAUAAUAAAAAGAUCACUUUCAACAACGGAUCUCUUGGCUCUC
rnacentral:misc_RNA from 1 species